rnacentral:rRNA from 1 species
CCGCGUGUGUGAAGAAGGCCUUCGGGUUGUAAAGCACUUUCAGUUGUGAGGAAAAGUUAGUAGUUAAUACCUGCUAGCCGUGACGUUAACAACAGAAGAAGCACCGGCUAACUCCGUGCCAGCAGCCGCGGUAAUACGGAGGGUGCGAGCGUUAAUCGGAAUUACUGGGCGUAAAGCGCACGCAGGCGGUUUGUUAAGCUAGAUGUGAAAGCCCCGGGCUCAACCUGGGAUGGUCAUUUAGAACUGGCAGACUAGAGUCUUGGAGAGGGGAGUGGAAUUCCAGGUGUAGCGGUGAAAUGCGUAGAUAUCUGGAGGAACAUCAGUGGCGAAGGCGACUCCCUGGCCAAAGACUGACGCUCAUGUGCGAAAGUGUGGGUAGCGAACAGGAUUAGAUACCCUGGU